GAUUCCGUUCCCUUUCUAACUGUAAGAGCUGCUACGGAUAUAAGUCCCACAGAUCCCCCUUCUCGAGCUUAUUCUUUUUAAGAGACUGAUGCCAACUAUGAAUAUACGAUCGAAUGCGCUCUUGUCUAUUUUUAGACUUCUUACUUUUUUUUUUUCCUUUGAUCUUUGAAGCCUUCCCCAACGGAACAAAUGCUGCUGCUCCUUCUGUUCAGAGUUCGCAUGACUUCGCUCUCGUUGUGCGUGGACUUCCUAAUCGAACUAAGAUGGAUCGGGCUGUUGGCUCAGAGAAGGUUUUAUCGGGGAAGGAAUAAGAAAAAGCUUUGUUGACUGAAGAAUAAAGAAAUUAUUUUCCAUGGGAGGGGAAGCUAACUUAACUUCAACUGAAAGGUGGGGCUGUUAACUAAAACCAGGUAUCUGGAACUGGAAUGGUGUUCAAACAGAGAUUCCACAGAAAUCGAAUCUGGAGAAGGAGAAUCAGACAUGGGAUACCAAUAUGGGAGGGCAUAUAAGUAUAUUACUUUGGGGAUCCCUCUGAAAAAGUAGCUGCAAGACCGAACGAAGCAGAUGCUGAGACAAGUAGCGGAGUUUAGUCCUUUUCUGAGUCUUUGGAGUUUGGGCACGAGAGUAACUCGACUUCAAGGCCAAGGUCCGAAGAUGUUGUCAAUCUUGAUUAUGGCAAGGUAGGACACAUAAGCCUAACCCCGAGCUGAGCUAGAGUUUUUUAUUUUUAUUUUUAGGUAUAGUUCAGUAGCAGGAGGGGUAGGAGUCAUUCCCUAGAGCCUAAAGUGAGGAAGGGGAAAUGAGACAAAGGCUAACUAAGGACGAAGUACGGAAGAUUCUUACUCCCAGGUGAAGGUUCUAGAAUAAGGAUAAGGAAGUCCACCGGGAUUGGCUUAAAGCUAAGCCAGGUGCUAUAGGUGAGGAAGGUUU
rnacentral:lncRNA from 1 species